rnacentral:rRNA from 1 species
GAUGAACGCUGGCGGCGUGCCUAAUACAUGCAAGUCGAGCGAACGAACGAGAAUCUUGCUUCGCUGAAGUUAGCGGCGGACGGGUGAGGAACACGUGGAUAACCGACCUAUAAGACUGGGAUAACUUCGGGAGACCGGAUCUAACACCGGAUGAUAGUGUGAACCGCAUGGUUCAAAAGUCAAAGACGGACUUGAUGUCACUUAUAGGGGGAUCCGAGCUGCAUUAGCUAGUUGGUAAGGUAACGGCGUACCAAGGCAACGAUGCAUAGCUGAUCUGAGAGGGUGAUCGGCCACACUGGAACUGAGACACGGUCCAGACUCCUACGGGAGGCAGCAGUAGGGAAUCUUACGCAAUGGGCGAAAGCCUGACGGAGCCACGCCGCGUGAGUGAUGAAGGUCUUCGGAUCGUAAAACUCUGUUAUUAGGGAAGAACAUAUGUGUAAGUAAAUGUGCACAUCUUGACGGUACCUACUCAGAAAGCCACGGCUAACUACGUG